rnacentral:rRNA from 1 species
UUUUUGGUUGGGGAUGGACUCGCGGCCUUUCAGCUUGUUGGUGAGGUAAUGGCUCACCAAGGCGACGACGGGUAGCCGGCCUGAGAGGGUGACCGGCCACACUGGGACUGAGACACGGCCCAGAUUCCUACGGGAGGCAGCAGUGGGGAAUAUUGCACAAUGGGCGAAAGCCUGAUGCAGCAACGCCGCGUGAGGGAUGACGGCCUUCGGGUUGUAAACCUCUUUUAGUAGGGAAGAAGCGAAAGUGACGGUACCUGCAGAAAAAGCACCGGCUAACUACGUGCCAGCAGCCGCGGUAAUACGUAGGGUGCAAGCGUUGUCCGGAAUUAUUGGGCGUAAAGAGCUCGUAGGCGGUUUGUCGCGUCUGCUGUGAAAUCCCGAGGCUCAACCUCGGGCUUGCAGUGGGUACGGGCAGACUAGAGUGCGGUAGGGGAGAUUGGAAUUCCUGGUGUAGCGGUGGAAUGCGCAGAUAUCAGGAGGAACACCGAUGGCGAAGGCAGAUCUCUGGGCCGUAACUGACGCUGAGGAGCGAAAGCGUGGGGAGCGAACAGGAUUAGAUACCCUGGUAGUCCACGCCGUAAACGUUGGGCGCUAGAUGUAGGGACCUUUCCACGGUUUCUGUGUCGUAGCUAACGCAUUAAGCGCCCCGCCUGGGGAGUACGGCCGCAAGGCUAAAACUCAAAGGAAUUGACGGGGGCCCGCACAAGCGGCGGAGCAUGCGGAUUAAUUCGAUGCAACGCGAAGAACCUUACCAAGGCUUGACAUACACCGGAAACGGCCAGAGAUGGUCGCCCCCUUGUGGUCGGUGUACAGGUGGUGCAUGGUUGUCGUCAGCUCGUGUCGUGAGAUGUUGGGUUAAGUCCCGCAACGAGCGCAACCCUCGUUCUAUGUUGCCAGCGCGUUAUGGCGGGGACUCAUAGGAGACUGCCGGGGUCAACUCGGAGGAAGGUGGGGAUGACGUCAAAUCAUCAUGCCCCUUAUGUCUUGGGCUUCACGCAUGCUACAAUGGCCGGUACAAAGGGCUGCGAUACCGUAAGGUGGAGCGAAUCCCAAAAAGCCGGUCUCAGUUCGGAUUGAGGUCUGCAACUCGACCUCAUGAAGUCGGAGUCGC